rnacentral:rRNA from 1 species
GACGAACGCUGGCGGCGUGCUUAACACAUGCAAGUCGAACGGAAAGGCCCUGCUUUUGUGGGGUGCUCGAGUGGCGAACGGGUGAGUAACACGUGAGUAACCUGCCCUUGACUUUGGGAUAACUUCAGGAAACUGGGGCUAAUACCGGAUAGGAGCUCCUGCUGCAUGGUGGGGGUUGGAAAGUUUCGGCGGUUGGGGAUGGACUCGCGGCUUAUCAGCUUGUUGGUGGGGUAGUGGCUUACCAAGGCUUUGACGGGUAGCCGGCCUGAGAGGGUGACCGGCCACAUUGGGACUACGGUAGGGCCCAGACUCCUACGGGAGGCAGCAGUGGGGAAUAUUGCACAAUGGGCGGGAGCCUGAGGCAGCGACGCCGCGUGCGGGAUGACGGCCUUCGGGUUGUAAACCGCUUUCGCCUGUGACGAAGCGUGGGUGACGGUAAUGGGUGAAGAAGCACCGGCUAACUACGUG